rnacentral:rRNA from 1 species
UACAGAGGAGCCGAGCGUUGUCCGGAUUGACUGGGCGUAAAGCGCACGCAGGCGGACGCGCGCGUGGGGUGUGAAAUCUGGCCGCUUAACGGCCAGGCGCCAUCCCAUACGGCGUGUCUGGAGUGAUGCAGAGGUCGAUGGAAUUGCCGGUGUAGUGGUGAAAUGCGUAGAGAUCGGCAGGAACACCCAGGGGGAAACCAGUCGACUGGGCAUCUACUGACGCUGAGGUGCGAGAGCGUGGGGAGCGAACCGG